GAUAUGGCAUCAUAUUAUUAUUAAAACUUCGGUGGUAAUAGAUGAGUAUGCGUCCUAUUAGUUAGUUGGAAAGGUAACGGCUUCCCAAGACAUCGAUAGGUAGGGGUCCUGAGAGGGAGAUCCCCCACACUGGUACUGAGACACGGACCAGACUCCUACGGGAGGCAGCAGUGAGGAAUAUUGGACAAUGGAGGCAACUCUGAUCCAGCCAUGCCGCGUGCAGGAAGACUGCCCUAUGGGUUGUAAACUGCUUUUAUAGAGGAAGAAACCUUCUCACGUGUGAGAAUCUGACGGUACUCUACGAAUAAGGAUCGGCUAACUCCGUGCCAGCAGCCGCGGUAAUACGGAGGAUCCAAGCGUUAUCCGGAAUCAUUGGGUUUAAAGGGUCCGUAGGCGGGCAGUUAAGUCAGUGGUGAAAGUCUUCCGCUCAACGGGAGAAUUGCCAUUGAUACUGAUUGUCUUGAGUUAUUAUGAAGUGGUUAGAAUGAGUAGUGUAGCGGUGAAAUGCAUAGAUAUUACUCAGAAUACCGAUUGCGAAGGCAGAUCACUAAUAAUAUACUGACGCUGAUGGACGAAAGCGUAGGUAGCGAACAGGAUUAGAUACCCUGGUAGUCUACGCCGUAAACGAUGGUUACUAGCUGUCCGGUCUAAUUGAGGACUGGGUGGCUAAGCGAAAGUGAUAAGUAACCCACCUGGGGAGUACGUUCGCAAGAAUGAAACUCAAAGGAAUUGACGGGGGCCCGCACAAGCGGUGGAGCAUGUGGUUUAAUUCGAUGAUACGCGAGGAACCUUACCAGGGCUUAAAUGCAGUCUGACGUACUUGGAAACAGGUAUUUCUUCGGACAGAUUGCAAGGUGCUGCAUGGUUGUCGUCAGCUCGUGCCGUGAGGUGUCAGGUUAAGUCCUAUAACGAGCGCAACCCCUGUGGUUAGUUGCCAGCGAGUCAAGUCGGGAACUCUAGCCAGACUGCCGGUGCAAACCGUGAGGAAGGUGGGGAUGACGUCAAAUCAUCACGGCCCUUACGUCCUGGGCUACACACGUGCUACAAUGGUAGGGACAGAGAGCAGCCACUGGGCGACCAGGAGCGAAUCUA
rnacentral:rRNA from 1 species